ACAUACGACCAUAGGAAGUGGAAAAUAGGGCUUCCCGUCCGCUCAGCCGUACUCAAGCCACUUGCCGGUCAGUUAGUAGUAUGGUGGGUGACCACAUGCGAAUCCUGACUGUUGUAUGUC
rnacentral:rRNA from 1 species